UACGUAGGUGGCGAGCGUUGUUCGGAAUUAUUGGGCGUAAAGAGCAUGUAGGCGGUUUUUUAAGUCUGGAGUGAAAAUGCGGGGCUCAACCCCGUAUGGCUCUGGAUACUGGAAGACUUGAGUGCAGGAGAGGAAAGGGGAAUUCCCAGUGUAGCGGUGAAAUGCGUAGAUAUUGGGAGGAACACCAGUGGCGAAGGCGCCUUUCUGGACUGUGUCUGACGCUGAGAUGCGAAAGCCAGGGUAGCGAACGGG
rnacentral:rRNA from 1 species